rnacentral:tRNA from 1 species
GCCCGGAUGGCGAAAUUGGUAGACGCGCUAGGUUCAGGGUCUAGUGGGAGUACUCCCAUAGGGGUUCGAGUCCCCUUCCGGGCA